rnacentral:rRNA from 1 species
GUGAUUAACACGUGGGUAACCUGCCUGUAAGACUGGGAUAACUCCGGGAAACCGGGGCUAAUACCGGAUGCUUGAUUGAACCGCAUGGUUCAAUUAUAAAAGGUGGCUUUUACCUACCACUUACAAAUGGACCCGCGGCGCAUUACCUAUUUGGUGAGGUAACGGCUCACCAAGGCAACAAUGCUUACCCAACCUGAAAGGGUGAUCGGCCACACGGGAACUGAAACACGGCCCAAACUCCUACGGAAGGCACCAUUAGGGAAUCUUCCGCAUGGGACAAAAGUCUGACGAACCACCGCCCCGUGAUUGAUGAAGGUUUUCGAAUCGUAAAACUCUGUUGUUAGGAAAAAACAAUUACCGUUCAAAUAGGGCGGUACCUUGACGGUACCUAACCAAAAAGCCACGCUUAACUACUUGCCACCACCCGCGGUAUUACUUAGGUGGCAAGCGUUGUCCGGAAUUAUUGGGCGUAAGCCGCGCCCAGGCGGUUUUCUUAGUUCUGAGGUGAAACCCCCCGGCUCACCCGG